ensembl:lncRNA
GUUGGGGUGGGGGAGAGGAAAGACAAAGGAGGGCCGUCCACAGAGCCACCAGAACCCAAGAAGAGGAAGUACAGCCCCCUUGAUGGUACGGCUGGCAGUAGUCUAGGUGCCAGGAUGCUGCAGGGAGGGGUGAAGAAAGGACUGCUGCUACGUAACAUGCAAGUGGACUGACCCCUGACCUUUAAACCCCGAUCUCUAACCUCUAACCCCAGACAUUCAACAUCGCACAGGACUAAGCUCCCUAGGUACAGAUCUAGGAUCAGCUUCCCCUCCCCCAAUCCUAACCUUAACCCUUUACACUCGUACUCGUAUCCAUCCGGGUUGAAAAUGGCAGAUUUGGGCACCAAUAAAUACCUAAAUUGGAACGUAAUGCUCAUCACAGCGAUGUAUGAGUUUUGACUGACAGACAUUCUGAACUUGAGAACCUCACGCAACGUAAAGCUGCAACCCAUCCCUCCUCGUAACUUUUGCAAAUGUUUUGUUGUCUGAGUGAAAAUGCUGUCAAUUAAGAGGACAAUAUGCAUUAUGUUGAGGAUUAUAAUAAAUAUCGCUUUGAUGUCAUGCAUCGCCUGUGAGUACAGUUACCAGAUGACUUAUCGUCAUACCCUGGGUUGUUCUGAACAGAAUGAGACUAUGGUUGAUGUAGUUACCAGAUGACUUGUCGUCAUACCCUGGGUUGUUCUGAACAGAAUGAGACUAUGUUUGAUGUACAGUUACCAGAUGACUUGUCGUCAUACCCUGGGUUGUUCUGAACAGAAUGAGACUAUGUUUGAUGUACAGUUACCAGAUGACUUGUCGUCAUACCCUGGGUUGUUCUGAACAGAAUGAGACUAUGUUAGAUGUAGUUACCAGAUGACUGUCGUCAUACCCUGGGUUGUUCUGAACAGAAUGAGACUAUGUUUGAUGUACAGUUACCAGAUGACUUGUCGUCAUACCCUGGGUUGUUCUGAACAGAAUGAGACUAUGUUUGAUGUAGUUACCAGAUGACUUGUCGUCAUACCCUGGGUUGUUCUGAACAGAAUGAGACUAUGUUAGCCUCUGCACACACACGUGAAUACGGUCAUCACUCCUUUCUCUGCACGCCAACAUCAUGGUCUGUUUCUCUGAAUUGCCUUGUGAAAGCCUAACACUGUAAUGUCAUAUUUUAUAUCUUAGCUAGUCAUGUUGGCAACAGAACAGGCUUUUAAAUGAUGCCCACCUGACCCAGAUUGCUAUUUAUAAUGACAGUGUUUAGUUUGCCUAAACAACAGCAGUAAAUGUGUGAUGACGAGGAGGAAGGGCUGUGUUCCAAAGAAAACAACUACAAGUGUGCUUCCUCUAGUUCCUCAACGGUCCAGCUAGGAGAGCUCAAAAAAGCACCUUAUAGCUGAAGACUUCUUUAAGUCAGAAAGGUGCAUUGAAAUUACUUAGGAACUAUGCACAGUUUGGAGAGGUGUGGCCACUUGGAGACGCCAGUCAGACCUCUCACUCAAACCCCACAGUUUGGAGAGGUAUGUGGCCACUUGGAGACACCAGUCAGACCUCUCACUCAAACCCCACAGUUUGGAGAGGUCUGGCCACUUGGAGACGCCAGUCAGACCUCUCACUCAAACCCCACAGUUUGGAGAGGUAUGUGGCCACUUGGAGACACCAGUCAGACCUCUCACUCAAACCCCACAGUUUGGAGAGGUCUGGCCACUUGGAGACGCCAGUCAGACCUCUCACUCAAACCCCACAGUUUGGAGAGGUGUGUGGCCACUUGGAGACACCAGUCAGACCUCUCAUUCAACCCCUUUAAACCCCAUUUUCCAGCAAUAUUCUUAACAUGUUACUGAAUAUAUCCAGAGUAUUUCAGAUUUCGUUAUCAACCAAUAAUGUGAAAAGUACAGUAUAUGUAAAAUGAACAUAAAAUCAACAGUGUAAUGUUUGAAUUCAGUCUUGUGUCAGGUGAACUGUUGUGUCCUCACCUUUGGUCUAAUAAUUUUCCCAUGAUCUCCAAACUGUUCCCUUUCAAUUGCUACCAUGGUUAUGCAUAUGCUUGUCAUAUUUCGUCUGUAAGAAACAUUUUAAUUCAGCCCUAUCCAUGUAGGCCAAUUCCCAGGAGUGUAAAGGGUUAACCGGAAGUGGGGGGCUGACCCAAGAUGAGCAUUUAGGGGAAACUGUAUCCUACUCCUCUAACUCCUCACACAGACAGGACUGGGACCAUCUGCUCUCCCAUAUCACUACUACAUAGAUAUAUAUAUAUAUAUAUAUAUAUAUAUAGAUAGAUAGAUAGAUAGAUAGAUAGAUAGAUAGAUAGAUAGGCUCCUGUUUUUAAAUUCUACACAUCGGAAGGAAGGAACCGAUGCAGUGUGGCCUGGUUCUCACGGAAAACUUCUCAAAUCUGUGGGAGAUUAACGCUAUGAGAGAUCAACGCUAUGAGAGAUCAACGCUAUGAGAGAUCAACGCUGUGGGAGAUCAACGCUGUGGGAGAUCAACGCUAUGAGAGAUUAACGCUAUGAGAGAUUAACGCUAUGAGAGAUUAACGCUAUGAGAGAUUAACGCUAUGAGAGAUCAACGCUAUGAGAGAUUAACGCUAUGAGAGAUUAACGCUAUGAGAGAUUAACGCUAUGAGAGAUUAACGCUAUGGGAGGUCAACGCUAUGAGAGAUUAACGCUAUGAGAGAUUAACGCUAUGAGAGAUUAACGCUAUGAGAGAUCAACGCUAUGGGAGAUCAACGCUAUGGGAGAUUAACGCUAUGAGAGAUUAACGCUAUGGGAGGUCAACGCUACGGAAGGUCAACGAUACGGGAGGUCAACACUACGGGAGGUCAACGAUACGGGAGGUCAACGCUACGGGAGGUCAACACUACGGGAGGUCAACGCUGCGGGAGGUCAACGCUGCGGGAGAUCAACGCUGCGGGAGAUCAAUGCUACGGGAGAUCAAUAUGGAGGUGAUCACCAACAGUCAGUCAGCCAUGGACGAUAGAGAAAGGAGUUUUAGAUUCACGAAAGAUAACCGUCAUUUGUUUGAUUGGGUUCUGUAUGUAUGGCUUUGGUAUCAUACAGAGAGUGAGAUGACUGUCUCUAAUAGCAGCCCCUGUGACACCCUAUUCCCUACAGGCCCUGGUCAAAAGUAGUGCACUAUAUAGGGAAUAGGGUGCCAAGUGUCUGAAAUGGUACCCUAUUCCCUACAGGCCCUGGUCAAAAGUAGUGCACUAUGUAGGGAAUAGGGUGCCAAGUGUCUAAAAUGGUACCCUAUUCCCAAUGGGCCCGCUGGUCAAAAGUAGUGCACUAUGUAGGGAAUAGGGUGCAAUUUGGGACUUAUUAACUUAGACAAUGUGAGGAUUUUACAAUGAGCACUUUUUUUUUCCUUUUUUUUUUUACCCAGAUAGAGAUGGGGACAGAACAUUCUGAUAGUGAUCUGGCCUCCUAUGGACAAUGGACAUUAUAUCACACUAACAAUGCAUUGGGUGUGAACCAAUAGUAAUAUCAUUCUGAUAUGUGUGUGUAAAAAUUAAAUGUAUAUUGUAAUACAGUAUUUGGUUCUGGAAAAAAAAAGAAGAGAUUUAGUUUGUCUUUUUAUUUGAAAUACUGACUAUCAUGAUCUUUGUCUCAUUUUUAUAAUGUUUUUUUGUUUGAUCGGGUUGUCGGAUCUCAAUCGUUCAAAUUACAAAGCUCCAAAUCUUUUAACCCCCCUAUAACUUGACAGUACCUUGAUAAUUGUAACCCUAGAAUUGACUGGCUUGAUUAACUGGAGUGAUUAACUGGAGUGAUUGACUAGAGUGAUUAACUGGAGUGAUUGACUGGAGUGAUUGACUGGAGUGAUUGACUAGAGUGAUUGACUGGAGUGAUUGACUGGAGUGAUUGACUGGAGUGAUUGACUGGAGUGAUUGACGUUGACUGGCUUGGUUGACUGGCUUGAUUUACUGGUUUGCUGCAGACAUGUUUUGGUACCCUUCCCCAGAUCUGUGCCUCGACACCAUCCUGUCUCGGAGCUCUACGGACAAUUCCUUCAACCUCAUGUUUUGGUUUUUGCUCUGACAUGCACUGUCAACUAUAGGACCUUAUAUAGACAGGUGUGUGCCUUUCCAAAUCAUGUCCAAUCAAUUGAAUUUAUCACAGCUGGACUCCAAUCAAGUUGUAGAGACAUCUCAAGGAUGAUCAAUGGAAACAGGAUGCAGCUGAUCUCAUAGCAAAGGGUCUGAAUACUUAUGUAAAUAAGGUAUUUCUGUUUUUUAUUUCUAAAAAUUUGUUUUCUCUUUGUCGUUAUGGGGUGUUGUGUGUAGAUUGAUGAGGAUAAAAAUUAAUUGUAUACAUUUUAGAAUAACAGGCUAACUACACCGCUCGCGUUGCAAAAUACAUUUAGAAAUCUAUAUUAUUCAAUUAUUGCACCCACACUGCUCGCGCGCGCCAAUGAGCGUCUGUGUUACCAAGGGCUAAAAUAGAAGUCAGUUCUAUUUCUGACGUGGUUCGCGCUGCAAGUCCUGCCUCUCCCAUCUCUUCAUUGGUUUAUAGAAGCAGGUACUCACGUGUCAUCCCCUCAUUGGUUAUACCCACGUGGGUGACAGAAAGACGAACGUUGCCAAUCGCAAUAUAAAGUCAAGAGAAGAAAAAGCCUGUAAGAAAGAGAGAUGACUAGAAAUGACUCGGCUGACCGUUUUAUGUGUGGAUUAGGUGUCAGAGUAGAGGACCUUGUGCAUUUCAGGUAAAAUAACAACUCAAUGUUUAUAUCCCAGGACAAAUUAGCUAGCAACAGCAAGCUAGCUAAAUAGGACAAAUUAGCUAGCAACAGCAAGCUAGCUAAAUAGGACAAAUUAGCUAGCAAGCUAGCUAGCUAAAUUUCCAUACAUGUUUAAUGCUUUUCGACCUGUCCCCAAAUUAAUAUAAUUGGUUCGGAGUUUGUUUUGAUAUUUUAAGCUUGUUACACAGAACCCAACCCGGCUGCGUGCAUGCGCCAUCGUGCAUAAAUGUAUUAUGUCCCCCACACCAAACGCGAUCACGACACGCAGGUUAAAAUAUCAAAACAAACUCACACGUGGGUACCUGCUUCUAUAAACCAAUGAGGAGAUGGCACGUGGGUACCUGCUUUUAUAAACCAAUGAGGAGAUGGGAGAGGCAGGACUGGCAGCGUGAUCUGCGUCAGAAAUAGAACUGACUUCUAUUUUAGCCCUUGGCAACGCAGACGCUCAUUGGCUUGCGCAAGCAGUAUGGGUGCAAUAAUUGAAUAAUAUAGAUUUCUACAUUUAUUUUGCAACGCGCACGCGACACGAGUGGUGUUGUCAGCCUGCAAGGCUGUAACGUAACAAAAUGUGGGAAGAGUCGAGGGGUAUGAAUACAUUCUGAAUGCCCUUGUAUCCUCUGGCUUGUUGAUGUUCUCCGUAUCCACAGCCAGAAUGAUUUUGCAGUGCACGGUGAUCGAACAGAUAUCCUGUUUGUAUUCAUCAGAGGUGUGAAGGGAGGGUGAAGUCUGUGAAUCCCCAAAAUAGUAAAUAAUACAGAUGAUUAACAAAGCAUACACACAACAGUACUCACACCUUGGUUUUUGUGGUGAAUGUAAAUGGGGGGGAAAAAAACUGUUUUUCGAUAAUAGUUUUCAUACACAUACCUUGUCCAUAAUGUAGAGGCCUCUGGGAUUUUCAUUGAAGAGGUAAGGCAGGAGGAUGGUACAUGUGAUCUGUAUAACAUACCAAUACCUUUGUAUGCCUCCCCGUCUGUAUACCUGCAGAUACAGACACAAAGGUGAGCAGUUCAGUCAUCUGCACCCAAUACAGCCAGUCUUCAACAUAUCCUUCUUAGCACAAAUAUUACCUCUUUGUUGAUUGAUAUCCAUUGAAUUGUUUCGCCUAAUUUCCUCAGUAGAGUAGAGUAUUAAUUUAUUACGACAGGGUAGCCUAGUGGUUAGAGUGUUGGACUAGUAACCGGAAGGUUGCAAGUUCAAACCCCCGAGCUGGCAAGGUACAAAUCUCUUGUUCUGCCCCUGAACAGGCAGUUAACCCACUGUUCCUAGGCCGUCGUUGACAAUAAGAAUUUGUUCUUAACUGACUUACCUGGUAAAAUAAAGAAUGUAUCUCGA